AAAAAACAUGAAAGUCAAUGUAUUUACUCCCAAAAUUUCCAUUACCUUAUUCGUUCCAAACCCUGGCCGUCGGGCUCUCGCCGUUUCCUCGCUUUUCCGGUCUGCUCCAUCACCGUGUUCACUGCUGGAGUUGCCUGCUGGUUUCCCGGUAUCGGCGACGCGGUCAAUCACUGUAAUCGCGGCCCGUCCAUUGUUCCGGGUCGCCGACUUUGCUGCCCUUGCCUUUUUCAUAUCGUCACACCAAUCUGGGUAUCCAACAAGGAGAAAACAUGCCUCUUUAUGUGUUUCCGACCACCACAAUGUGAGCACGUCAAUUUGCUCUUAUCCUCCCCCUGUCGUCGGUUCCACGGGCAAUUGGCGGUGUUCGGUGGCUGACUGCGACGGCUGCGUUCAAUGGUUGAGAGACCAGAGCCAAUUCUGUGUCCUGCCUCCUUCGCAAGGCUGCCUCCAGUUCCAAGUAUCUGGUCGUUGUUCGAUUCUCUUCGAACUAUCCCGUACGCAACACGUACGGUCGGUAAAAGAUCCUGCCUCACUAUCUCUUUUUUUACGGCCUCGUAUUUGUCCUCCAAGGCAGUGAUGAACUGGUAUAACCUCUGUUUCUAGACUAUCUUGUUGUAUUUCUCAAUCACUGAUGCUGCUUCCCCGUCUAUGGGUUUUGGCCCCCGUCGGUUAAUUUAGAUCCAUAAGCCUUGCAGUUUGUUCCAUAGUGCCUCUAAUACCAUUCCAUCAUGUUUGAUAACACUUGUUUGUCGAUGCAAAUCAUAUACUUGGAACGGAUCGGUUCCAUUGCCAUAUGUGAUGGCAAGGCCCUCCCACAAGUUCUUCGCCGUCGCGUAUUGCGACACUUCGGUCACCAAAUCAGCUUCAAUAUUAUUUAUUAUCCAGAUGAAAACGGUGUGAUCUCGUUGCUGCCACUGUUGGUAAGAUGGGUCAGAUCGAGGGGGAGGGUCGGACACUCCAUCGAUGUGAGACGUUAGCCCCUUUCCCCCGAUCGCGCGAUUCAUUAGGUUGGCCCAGAGAGGAUAAUUUUCCCCGUCUAAUUUCGACUGGACAAUGGUUUCUCCCAGAGAUUGGGGAUGUUGAGUCUUGACUAUUGGUUCUGGUUUGUUUGGUAUAGAACUGAAGCCUUGCCUAAAAAUUCCUCAAAUUGAGCGGUACAAAAGGUCGGGAAAGGUUUAUGGACGAUGAUGAGAUUGUUCGGAGUCCUCACCCGUUCGUGAUACCAUAUUGAAAUGGAGAGAAUUGGGUAAUUCUUGUAUAUUGAUUGUAAUCAUUCGUCCACUAGUUAUAGGGUGAUACAAGCUUAUUUCUGGUAGUGAAUAAUCUAUUCUAGUGUGUAUCAAUCACAGGUCAAUUCUGAAUCUUUUCCAUC